rnacentral:pre_miRNA from 1 species
UGGUUAGUAUAAGUAUGUCUCAUGCAAUAUUUGGGAUAUAGUUAUGCUAAAA